rnacentral:rRNA from 1 species
GUAAUGCGUAGGAAGCUACCCGAUAGAGGGGGAUACCAGUUGGAAACGACUGUUAAUACCGCAUAAUGUCUACGGACCAAAGUGUGGGACCUUCGGGCCACAUGCUAUCGGAUGCGCCUACGUGGGAUUAGCUAGUUGGUGAGGUAAUGGCUCACCAAGGCGACGAUCUCUAGCUGGUUUGAGAGGAUGAUCAGCCACACUGGAACUGAGACACGGUCCAGACUCCUACGGGAGGCAGCAGUGGGGAAUAUUGGACAAUGGGCGCAAGCCUGAUCCAGCCAUGCCGCGUGUGUGAAGAAGGCCUUCGGGUUGUAAAGCACUUUCAGCGAGGAGGAAGAGUUGUGUGUUAAUAGUGCACAGCUUUGACGUUACUCGCAGAAGAAGCACCGGCUAACUCUGUGCCAGCAGCCGCGGUAAUACAGAGGGUGCAAGCGUUAAUCGGAAUUACUGGGCGUAAAGCGCACGUAGGCGGUUUUUUAAGUCAGAUGUGAAAGCCCCGGGCUCAACCUGGGAAUUGCAUUUGAAACUGGAAAACUAGAGUGUGUGAGAGGGGGGUAGAAUUCCAAGUGUAGCGGUGAAAUGCGUAGAGAUUUGGAGGAAUACCAGUGGCGAAGGCGGCCCCCUGGCACAACACUGACGCUCAGGUG